UAUGUACUCCCUCCGUCCGAAAAUACUUGUCAUCAAAAUGAAUAAAAAGGGAUGUAUCUAGAUGUAUUUUAGUUCUACAUACAUCCAUUUUUGUCCAUUUUGAUGACAAGUAUUUCCAAACGGAGGGAGUAUAUG
rnacentral:pre_miRNA from 1 species